UACAGAGGUCCCAAGCGUUGUUCGGAUUCACUGGGCGUAAAGGGUGCGUAGGUGGUCAGGUAAGUCGGAUGUGAAAUCCCCGAGCUCAACUCGGAAACUGCAUUGGAAACUACCUGGCUCGAGGGUUGGAGGGGGGACUGGAAUGCUUGGUGUAGCAGUGAAAUGCGUAGAUAUCAAGCGGAACACCAGUGGCGAAGGCGAGUCCCUGGACAACUCCUGACACUGAUGCACGAAAGCUAGGGGAGCAAACAGG
rnacentral:rRNA from 1 species